rnacentral:rRNA from 1 species
UUGGACCUGAUAUCAGGCAAGAUUACCCGCUGAACUUAAGCAAC